UACGUAGGGUGCAAGCGUUAAUCGGAAUUACUGGGCGUAAAGCGUGCGCAGGCGGUUGUGCAAGACCGAUGUGAAAUCCCCGGGCUUAACCUGGGAAUGGCAUUGGUGACUGUACGGCUAGAGUGUGUCAGAGGGGGGGUAGAAUUCCACGUGUAGCAGUGAAAUGCGUAGAGAUGUGGAGGAAUACCGAUGGCGAAGGCAGCCCCCUGGAUAACACUGACGCUCAUGCACGAAAGCGUGGGGAGCAAACAGG
rnacentral:rRNA from 1 species